AGUGAACGCUGGCGGUAGGCCUAACACAUGCAAGUCGAACGGCAGCACAGUAAGAGCUUGCUCUUACGGGUGGCGAGUGGCGGACGGGUGAGGAAUACAUCGGAAUCUACUUUUUCGUGGGGGAUAACGGAGGGAAACUUACGCUAAUACCGCAUACGACCUACGGGUGAAAGCAGGGGAGCUUCGGACCUUGCGCGAUUGAGUGAGCCGAUGUCGGAUUAGCUAGUUGGCGGGGUGAAGGCCCACCAAGGCGUCGAUCCGUAGCUGGUCUGGGAGGAUGACCGGUGAGGUUGGGACUGAGAGACGGCCCAGACGCCUACGGGAGGCAGGAGUGGGGAAUAGUGCAGGAGGGUGUAAAGCCUGAUGCGGCGACGCCGCGUGAGGGAUGGAGGCCUUCGGGUUGUAAUCCUCUUUCGCACAUGCUCAAGCCGCAACUGUGGGUUGUGGUGAGGGUAGUGGGUAAAGAAGCGCCGGCUAACUACGUG
rnacentral:rRNA from 1 species